GAGGGGCCGGGGAAGGCAGAGCGCCCGCCGCCGGGGAGAAGCGUCGGGGCUGCGCUCGGGCAGACAGACAGGCUGCCGCUGCCGGAGGAGGAUGGUGCUCCUGGGGAAACAACACCCUCCGUUCCCCGCCUCUCCCCGGCGCGGGCGGUCUGUUCGCCUUUGAUUGCGAGGCGAGGGCAUCCUGCCCCCGCGGCUCCCCCCUCCCGGGAUGGCUACAUACAAAGGCUGCUUUCCAGGAACUUUCCAGGAACCGCAUCAUGUGACAGGACCCGCUCCGGCGCCUCCACCGCGAUCGCGGCCAGCCAGGGCCGCCGCACCGAGCCGCCGCCCCUGUCACGCCGGGGCAGCGGCGGCCUAACCCCCCCCCCCGCGUGCCCCUCCGCUCCCCCUCCCUCCGCGGAGCUGCGGGAGACGCGCGGCGAGCAGAGACAACCGAGAAAAAGAAGGAUCAUUUGCUUUAGUUCAGUGGACAGGUAGAUGGCUCAUCACUGGCAAGCAUGGAACUCUGACCGUUAAAAGUUAAUUGAAACUGUGCUGCCUGUGGUAUGUGUACAUGCUGCUUGGAUCAAAUACAUUUUUCAGAUGAGUGAGUUGGUUGCCAGGGAUGUUACAGAUGGAAGCAGGCACAGCAGGAGGGAGUGGGAACUUUCCAGUGGAACUGUGGCAGCAGGGAACUGCUCCAGUUUGAAGUACCUGAAAUUAUGUGAAACUGUCUGCUGCUUGCAAGAAUGGUGGUUUCCUGGUGUGAAAGUGAGGCGGAGCUGCAGCCCUCAUUGAUCUCAGGACAGCAGAAUCUAGACAUGGCUGCUGAUGUUCAGACCAAUUGCAACAGUAAACAGACAAGAAGGAAACUUCCCUGGAAGACUGAUGUGAAUGUACACCUCUGCUACUCUGCCGAAGGAAAUGAGCAAGUCCCACAGAGAACUGGAGACUCUUUGACUCCAACCAGUUUCAGACCUACUUCUGAAUUUAAUUCAAGAACAGCUAAUGCACGACUCUCAGUGUUAAAUUUGAGGAUACAGCUCAAUCCUCUAUGGUUUCAGACAAAUCCAGUUGCAUCAUUGUGCAAGGUGGUAGUACCAAGAAUGUGCAGAACAACAUCAUUUGCACAGAGAAAAAGGCAAAAACUUCUUUUAAAGGCAUGCUUCCUUUUAAAAUUCAGGUCUGACUAGAGGCAGUAAAAGAAAAAAACUAUUUCACUGUGAGGGUGACAGAGCAGUGGCACAGGCUGCCCAGGGAGGGUGUGGAGUCUUCUUCCUUGGAGGUCUUCAAGACCCACCUGGAUAUGUUCGUAUGUGACCUGAUCUAGGUGACCCUGCUUCUGCAGGGGGGUUGGACUAGAUGAUCUCUAAAGAUCCCUUCCAACCCCUACCAUUCCAUGAUUCUAUGAUUCACUAAAACCUCACAGUAAAUUGAACUGUGAUUGAAAUGGUCUGAAUUGAAGACAAACUUUUUGAUAGUUGACUGAAAGAAAGGAAAGACAAAGAAGAAUUUCAGUGAGAUAUUAAAAAUAAACCAAACCAGUAGGAUGUACCCAACUAUAUUAUCCACAGCAAUGAGCUCCAUCACGUCUGAAACAGUAACUACUGGAUACAAAGCAAAUGGCUCAGUGCCUCAAUGGCAUACAAAGAUACCAGAGCAAAUUUAACAUUGCCAAUUAUGUUCAACUAAAGUUUUCAGUUACAAUGAAUAUAACCAGCAGAAAACAGAAACCUCAAAACAACUUUCAAAAAGGAUUAUUCUUUUGCAUAGAAGUGGGACAAGAAUCAAAUGGAUAGAAUCCUAAUUCCAAGUUUUCAAGUUAAGAGAAACAGAUAAAGUGUUGUUCAAGACCUACAAAACCAGGAAAGCUUGAAAUUGCCGUGAGAGGAAGAUUUUAAUUAGGUCAUGCUACAGAUGACCUAGAAGAAGGAUUAAGUAGAGGAGAACACAAACAUUGAGAGAGACAGCAUAAUCCAGGGAUUCUUUAAAUAUCAAUUUUAUUAAUUAACAUGAUAAGAAAAUGGCAGAGGGUGCAUGUAGUGAACGUGUGUUUUAGACUCAGGUUUCCAGUAACUGGUCAGAAGAGGAAGUGCUUUAAAGAUACCAGUUCAGCAUGUCAUAGAUUUUUAGCCCUCAAAAUGCCUGUAAAGAAUCCAAAAACGUUUGGGAAACAUUGAGAAAUCAAAUAUUUCUACAGUGAUUGUGGAUGUUUAAUCAUAAACAGGGCUUGACAGGCAAGAACAGACAAGUGUGAUAACAGAAGCUAUUUGAAAAGCAAAAUGUCUUGACAGUAUUGGUUGGCAAGAAGCAAAAGUAUUGGGGAGAAUAAGGGGGAACAGUAAUUUAAACGUUUAAAUUAAUCCAAGGAUGUAUUUUCUUACACUGAAGUCAAAGAGUGAAAAAUUAGGUCUGAUCUUUGAAAAAAAUAAAGGGUGCUCGGUUUUAUGUUACAGAACCUAAGAAAAUGCUAAACAUGUGAUGUAAGCCUCUCACAUAAGACCAGCGUAAGUACCAGGCGCCGUGAAGCGACAGAAGUAAAGUUUGUUGUACUACAAGUUAUUACUUUUAAAGUUAUAUUCUAGGCAGGGGAAAAAAAAAUAUUUUCAUGUGAUGGAACUUGCAGGGGAAGCAGUGAUUCUUUUCAUAGACACAACAGACAUUCUGUUGUGAGAGCACGUUUGUGAUCACAUGAGCAACACAUCAUAUAGUGUAGAGCCAAAAUCACUUGGCUGAUGCAGCCUAACUAGAGACUCAGAUAUCUUGCAAGUGUAAGAGGGAGAAUAAGCAAAACAAGUUUCCUGUUCUGCCACAAUAACCCACUAUCGGCUAAGUGGCAUGCAGAUUUAAAAAUGCAUUUUUAAAAAUAAUAUCAGGAUAAAUACUUAGACUAGCUUUAUGUAAAAUUUUCAAGAAAUACUUAAAGGCAGUCUUUUUACAUGCGUCUGACAUUACUUUUUUUCACAAUUAAAAAAAAAUUAAGGGAAAAAGGUUAUUUAGUAAUAACUUUAUAGAAGUAAUUGUCCUUUACACUAACCAUGACCAGGAUUAAAGACUAUAUGAUACUCCUCACAAAACACGUGAGUAACAUAUACUGGCAAAAUUACACUAGACUACCAGAAGAGACAAGAACCUUCUUAUGUAAGUUGUUUUGGAAAUAAAGUACCAUGAAGAUGUACAACAAACAUGGGAAAACUGUUUUCUGAUUAUUUAUUAGGAUAUGCUAAGAAGAGUUAAUGAAGUUACUGGGAUCUCUGCAGAAGCAGAACGUUCCAAGUGAGCCCUUUCAGAGCUCUGAGGCCUAAAACUGGAAUAAGUGAUCUCCUUUCCCCGAGAAAAAAAAUGCUAGGUGACAAAGUAUUACAAUAGCAGAAACACUUAAGCAGUUAAACAUAUUAAAACUAUCAAGUGGAAUCAAACCACAUUAAAUUUAAAUCAUUUUAUAUGAUAAAUGGCCAAUCAUUCCACCUAGGUAGGCUACAAGAAGCUCGGAGACUUCACCAAUUACCUUGUUGAAGCAAAGAACUCUUCCUUCCUGGAGCUGCAGCUAUUAAAGUUUAUAUAUGAACACAGCAUCCUCACCACACAGUAACUGGAGUGGGUUUAAAAUAAACAAAACCCCACAAGCCACAAAUGCACACAGAAGUUCUCUCAGCUAUUUGGGAAUGCUGAGUGAUUUAGAAGGGCAAGUUAUCAUGCCUUGGGAGAUACAAUUUAAUUAAGUUGGCCAGUUUUGAGUACACGACAAUAUCCUUAAUCCUUAGUAUCUUUGGCUGAUGUAGGAUUAAACAUGAAAUCAAGU